rnacentral:rRNA from 1 species
AUUGAACGCUGGCGGCAGGCUUAACACAUGCAAGUCGAGCGGGGGAAGGCGCUUCGGUACUGACCUUAGCGGCGGACGGGUGAGUAAUGCUUAGGAAUCUGCCUAUUAGUGGCGGACAACAUCUCGAAAGGGAUGCUAAUACCGCAUACGUCCUACGGGAGAAAGCAGGGGAUCACUUGUGACCUUGCGCUAAUAGAUGAGCUUAAGUCGGAUUAGCUAGUUGGUGGGGUAAAGGCCUAACAAGGCGACGAUCCGUAGCGGGUCUGAGAGGAUGAUCCGCCACACUGGGACUGAGACACGGCCCAGACUCCUACGGGAGGCAGCAGUGGGGAAUAUUGGACAAUGGGGGGAACCCUGAUCCAGCCAUGCCGCGUGUGUGAAGAAGGCCUUAUGGUUGUAAAGCACUUUAAGCGAGGAGGAGGCUCUUUUGGUUAAUACCCAAGAUGAGUGGACGUUACUCGCAGAAUAAGCACCGGCUAACUCUGUGCCAGCAGCCGCAGUAA